UUCUCCUCACUUUCUCUCACCAGAGCCGCCUCCCCCCACGCAGCCGCCGCACGGCGACGGCCGCCAUGAGAGCCCUCGUCUCCCUCUUCCGGAUCGCCCGCCGGCUUCCCGCCCCUCUCGCCGCCGCUAGGGCCCCAACACCGCUCCUCCUCCGGCACCUCCAUGGCGACGCCCCGCCGCCGCCGCCACCCCAGGACCCGCCGCCCUUCGUCUCCCGCAUCCUCGAAUCGGAGCCGAGCCUGACCCCGAGCACCGAGGCGGAACCGGCACCCGACCCGUUCCUCGAUGAGUUCCUCGCGCGCUUCGUGGCCGCCUUCCGCCCGGAACUCGCGGCGGCCUUCCCCGACUACGACCGCGCCGUGCUCGACGAGAUGCUCCGCCUCGUCGCGGACGCCGUGGUGUGCCGCGUCACUGGGGCCGACCCGGGGCCUGACGCCGCCGAGCUCAGCGACGACCUCUGGGCGGCCGUGUGGAAGGUCAGCGCCUCGGUGCAGGAGGCUAUGCGCCGUGACCAGGUCCGCGCCGACCUCCGCCACUAUCUCCACUGCGACGAGGUCAAGGAGAUGACGCGGUUCGCCGUCGACGUCGGCAUCCGCGGCUCCAUGCUCCGGGAGUUCCGCUUCAAGUGGGCCCGCGAGAAGCUCGACGAGGUCGAGUUCUACCGCGGCCUCGAUGACAUGCGCGCCAAGGCCGAAGCCGCCGCCAACCCGGCCCCUGCGCCGGUGCGGAGGCUGACCGCUUUGCCGAAGAGGAAGGGGGAGGUGAAGUUCACGAUGUACGGGUUGGACAUGUCUGACCCGAAGUGGGCCGAGGUUGCGGAGCGGACGGCCGAGGCUGAGGCACAUUUUGUGCCUCAGGAAGCCAAGCCUGUAGAAGGGAAAGCGAAGAAGGCCGAGGAGCAGCUGCUGCGGGUCGACCCGAGGAGAGGAGAUCCAGUGCCUGCCAUGGAGGAGUGGAAGGAGGAUCUCCGGCCAAAGCGAGUUGACUGGAUGGCGCUGCUUGAGCGGGUUAAGGCACGCAAUGUUGAGUUGUACCUCAAGGUUGCUGAAAUUCUGUUAGCUGAAGAAUCUUUCGAGGCAAACAUCCGAGAUUACUCAAAGUUAAUUGAUCUUCAUGCUAAAGCAAAUCAUGUGGAAGGUGCUGAGAUAAUACUUGGUAAAAUGAAAGAGAAAGGUGUUGCACCUGAUAUCCUCACAUCUAUCACGUUAGUCCACAUGUAUAGCAAGGCAGGCAAUCUAGAUCGAGCCAAGGAGGCUUUUGAGUUUAUUCGGAAUGAGGGUUUCAAACCAGAUCUGAAACUCUUCAGUUCGAUGAUUAAAUGCUAUAUCAGUCAUGGAGAACCAGGACAAGCAGAUAAUUUGCUAAACACUAUGAAGGGCAUGGAUAUCAAAGCCACCAGAGAAAUGUACACGGAUGUGAUACGGGCAUAUGCUCAGCAAGGCAUGGUGGCUGCUGCCCAGAACGUUCAUAGGGCGAUGCACUUUGCCGGAAUUGAGUCUACGCCAGAGUUGUUCACAAUGAGUAUAGAAGCAUAUGGACGCAUUGGUGAUCCUGAGAAUGCCUGUCUCGUGUUUCAACACAUGAGGAGAUCUGGACACGAACCGGAUGAUAGUUCUAUUGCUGGUGUGGUGGCUGCGCACAUGAAGAAGAACCAAUUAGACCAGGCUUUGCUCUGGCUGCUGAGUUUAGAGAAGGAAGGAUUUAAACCUGGUGUCAAGACGAACCUCGUGUUACUGGAUUGGCUAUCUAUGUUGCAGCUAGUUCCGGAGGCUGAACAGCUUGCGCGGAAGAUAAAACAGCUGGGAGAAGAACCCAUAGAAGUCCAUGUGUUCCUUGCUGAUAUGUAUGCAAAGUCACGCCAGGAAGAGAAAGCCCGCAGAUCCCUCAAGAUGUUGGAAGAGAAGAAGAAACUAUUGAAGGCUGAUCAGUUCGAGAGGAUUAUAAGAGGCCUUCUGGACGGUGGAUUCUCAGAGGAGGCCAAUAAAUACUACAAAAUGAUGAAAUCAUUUGGCUUUGAACCAUCAGAAACAAUCGAGGUUGGUGUUAAGGCCAGUUUAAGGAUGAGGGGUGGGCUUCGUCCCACUGGUAGGCAUUGAGGCUAGGGCUUGUAUGCUGGCAGUGAUCUGCUGGGCACGCAAGCAGGCAGUGAUUCUGGUCAGAGAACCUUGGAGGUAGCACUGACAACGGCACAACCAAAUUGACCAAACUUUCAAAUGUUGGAAAAUAGGUUGGCCGAAUUCUUUUUUUGUUAUCCAUCGUCUCGAGGAAUGAAAAUGCUUCCACAGAUUAUAAAGUUGAUAGGUGCUGGUCUCAUGAUUUUGUUGUUUGAAGCGAUCAGGAUUUGGACUUGUUUUUGGUGAUUGUAAUGCCUUUUCGGCUUCCAGACAGACAUACCAUGAUGCCCGAUACAUGAUGGGCUAAAACAGAGGCAACAUUAGCUCGGGGACAUCGUUAAAUCGCGGCAAAGUCACAGGACAUAAAAAAGGUAGCUUUGCCAUAGCACACUCUUCAACCAUGGUAAUAUCCGCCGGACACUUAUACUCUAUGUUUUAGUCAAUUUUAAUUUCACGUUCGACCUCAAGAACCGUUCCCGCCAACCUUUAUCCUUUCUAUCGCUGACUCCCUCCCUCCCCCUGACUUCUUGCGCCGCCGCCGUCCCCUUCCCGACGCGCAGGCCCCCCACCGGCGGUUGUUCCGGGGCGCAGCCCCACCCCGCUGGGGGUCCGUUACGGCGCGCCGGCCGCCCGCUGGAGGCCCCUCCCUGCGGGGGCGCAGAUUGCCUACUUCCGCGUCAACUACGCCGCCGUGGUCGCCUUCUCCCUCGCGGCCUCGCUCCUGGCGCACCCCUUCUCCCUCCUCAUCCUCCUCUUCCUCACCUCAGUGGCUUCGCUCAUCAUCUCCGGGCUGCUCGUCGGGGGUGCCAUCGUCGCCGCGCACGGCGCCUGCCACAUGCCAGCCUCUUCCUCGAUGAUCCGAGCGCUGCGUCCAAUGGCAGCACCACCAGCAGGCUGCUAUCCUUCCGCGCGUCGCUCGGAUCUGGGGUUUGACGAGGAAUUCAGUAGAGAUCUGGCCCUGUAGCUACAAAGAGCUUCUCGUUCCUGUGGUACUUAACUGUGAGUAGCUAUGGAUAUGCAUAUCUGAUUUUGGUUCUAAAUUGUGUCUCGAAUAAUGCAAAGAUCUUGCGAUGUGUGGA